GAGAGCAGUGAGAAGUUCUUUUUUCCCAACGCAACCUCCUCUCCUUCUUUCCCAUCCUGAUCAGCGGCUAGGGUUCCGCCGGCGCCGCCACAGCCACAGCCACCGGCGCCAUCCCUGCUCGUCCAGCACUGGCCACUGCAGAAGGUGGUCGUCGUCUCCGUCGCCGUCGCCGUCUCCGCCUCUAACAUCGACCUCGACCUCGACCGUGUCUGCGGCAGCGGCAAGGACCUCCGCAUGUAGGUCUCCUUCUCGCCAAGCGAGCGCUCGGGACGAGCAGGAUCUCAAUCUCGAGCGGGGGACAAACGCGGCCACUGGCAGCCGCCGGGGACGCCUCUGCAUCGUCGGCGGCGGAAUUAGGGGAGCAGCAUGUUGCGAUUCUGGUGGUCCUUCCUUGCUUCGAAAACUUCCAUAUCCAAGCUCAUUUAUGCUAGAAAGUGUUUACUGAAUGCAUCUAUAGCAACGGGAGACUCGAUUGAUUCUAAUCAUAUACGGUGCGCUUGUUCCAUGGAGUAGCGAUGGAGAGCAGGCGAGAGGGCACAGGCGAAGUUGGCCAACAAGAGCCAGCUCGAUGAGGGCUUCCAUUGAAAGCAUAUAUCUAAUCUUAUAUUUAAUCUGGAUCUGAUAGGAAAAUGGUCAAAGGCAAUCUAUGAUGGCAUAUUUGUUGAUUGUCAUUUGCAACUUUCUUCUUGAGCAAGCUGAAACAAAAGUGCUGCUCCAUCUAUCAGAUGCAGCUACAACAUGAGCCCCUCUUUAGAUAGAUGGAUGGAAUUAUGAUCGCUGCCUUCUUCCUCCAGGCUCAGGCUAAUGUGACGAGGCGACGAGAUACACGAGGGGUGGGAUAAGGACUGCAGGAGGACAUGCCCUGUUUUAGAUCCACCCGAUCAUUCCAUGUUUUUGCAAGGUCCGCUUCAUACGAAAAAAAUUCUUUCGAUGAGCAGUCUAGCCAAAUAAUUACAAUUAGUCCUUUCAGUUGGAUUUAGUAUUAGCUAAAUUAUUUUCUUCCCAUGACACUGAACAAACUGAGUAUAAUUUUAAUUUGCUUUAGAUUAGUAUUGUAGCCUAGAAUAUAGAUAUGUAUUUUGUAAUACUUAAUCCUUCAAAGUGAUAACCAGUACUAUGAAUCUUGACGCAUACUCCGCAUCUCCCUCAAAUGGAUAUAUCUAGCACUAACUUGGUGAUAGAUACAUCCAUUUAAGGGACAAGCUUUUUCGGACGGAGAGGGUACUAUAUUUGUUUGGUGGUAUACUUUAGCCCAGAUUAUGG